GAUCAUGGCUCAGGAUGAACGCUGGCGGCGUGCUUAACACAUGCAAGUCGAACGAAGCACUUAGGACGGAUUAUUUCGGUAUGAAGACUUUUGUGACUGAGUGGCGGACGGGUGAGUAACGCGUGGGUAACCUGCCUUAUACAGGGGGAUAGCAGUUGGAAACGACUGGUAAUACCGCAUAAGCGCACAGUAUCGCAUGAUAUAGUGUGAAAAACUCCGGUGGUAUAAGAUGGACCCGCGU
rnacentral:rRNA from 1 species